rnacentral:lncRNA from 1 species
UCAGUCCCUCCCUCCCGCGCGCGCGCGUCCCCGCCGCGGGACUACUUUCCGUCGCCGCGCGCCCCGCCCCCUGCGUCCCCUCCACUCGCCUCCCCGGCGGAGGGGCACCUCUCGGCGGCCUCGUGACGCGUCCCUGUGUGAGCCGCGCCGCUAUUGGGUCCGCGCCGCGGAGGAAAUGAGAGCGCGGCGCCGAUUGGUCCGGCCUUCCCUGCAAUGCGUCAAACUGGGGCGAGCCACUGCGUGGUGGUGGUGGGGAAGCCCGAGGUGUGUGGCUGCGAGAAGCCGUGAGGUGUAACGAGGCGAAGGGAGACGCUUUGUGGCUGUUAGAGAUGCAAAUAUAUCGUCUCGGUGGUCGGGGGGUGGUAAAAGGGCUGGCGGAAGAUGCAGGAGGACUAUCCGGGCUCUCCCCUCUAACAGAUGGAAGAUGGUGCGAUCCAAAAUUCUGGGGUCUGGAAGCCCCGCCCCCAACUGGGCCCUAGGAGGUGGCGGGGUCUUCAAGGUUCUGCUCCUCCAGGGAGGUUUCCACCUGUCCAGGCGGGUGUCUGCGCCCUGAGAGACUCCGCAGAUGGCCUUUGGGGAUCCAGUUUCCUUUUCUCUUGUGGUUCUGCGGUCCCCCGCAUACUCAGAAUUCUCUUCUGGAUCCAUGGUCUAGUGAGAACCUGGGGGAAGAAAGAACAUCCGAGGACCAUAUGA